GCAAGUAGCUUUACUCCCCUCAACUCCCAUUGCCUUAAAGGAGGUUAAAGUAAAGUUACUCACCCAGCUCCCUCGACUUGAGAUCUACUUUCCUUUGGUUGGGAGUUGGCUUCCUGAUCAACAAGACCCUGUUAGCUGUGAUGAUAACUCUCCUAGUGAGAAGAAGAAACCACCUUGGAGGAAGCCGCCAGACACCAAUAAAUCUUGAAUUCAUGGUGCGAAAGGACAGCUUGUCUCUUAAAACCAAACUAUCUGUCAUAUGGGCCCACUAGGAAGCAGGGAAUUCCUCACAGGACUUUGAUCAUGCUGCCAGAUAGGGAACCAGGGAAGCUCUA